rnacentral:rRNA from 1 species
UACGAAGGGGGGCUAGCGUUGCUCGGAAUCACUGGGCGUAAAGCGCACGUAGGCGGACUCUUAAGUCGGUGGUGAAAUCCUGGAGCUCAACUCCAGAACUGCCUUCGAUACUGGAGAGUCUCGAGUCCGGGAGAGGUGAGUGGAACUGCGAGUGUAGAGGUGAAAUUCGUAGAUAUUCGCAAGAACACCAGUGGCGAAGGCGGCUCACUGGCCCGGUACUGACGCUGAGGUGCGAAAGCGUGGGGAGCAAACAGGG